rnacentral:rRNA from 1 species
GAUGAACGCUAGCUACAGGCUUAACACAUGCAGGUCGAGGGGCAGCAUGGUCUUAGCUUGCUAAGGCCGAUGGCGACCGGCGCACGGGUGAGUAACACGUAUCCAACCUGCCGUCUACUCUUGGACAGCCUUCUGAAAGGAAGAUUAAUACAAGAUGGCAUCAUGAGUCCGCAUGUUCACAUGAUUAAAGGUAUUCCGGUAGACGAUGGGGAUGCGUUCCAUUAGAUAGUAGGCGGGGUAACGGCCCACCUAGUCUUCGAUGGAUAGGGGUUCUGAGAGGAAGGUCCCCCACAUUGGAACUGAGACACGGUCCAAACUCCUACGGGAGGCAGCAGUGAGGAAUAUUGGUCAAUGGGCGCAGGCCUGAACCAGCCAAGUAGCGUGAAGGAUGACUGCCCUAUGGGUUGUAAACUUCUUUUAUAAAGGAAUAAAGUCGGGUAUGUAUACCCGUUUGCAUGUACUUUAUGAAUAAGGAUCGGCUAACUCCGUG